rnacentral:ncRNA from 1 species
UAUUUUGCUUUGAUGGGAAACCAGUAGUGCUUCUAUCACUGUUUCAGAAAACCGGCGGUCGCUGUGAGUCGGUACAAAUAGAAGAAUGAAUUACCUCCCUGAGCAUUCGUUGUGAACGAUUAAUAAGUAGCAGCGAACGGAUGAACCGUUAUUUUUUUAAGUGGAGGACCGAGUUUCUGGUUCUUAAUUUGGGUGGUACCGCGCUUUUUUAGCGUCCCUGCA